rnacentral:rRNA from 1 species
UACGUAGGGUGCAAGCGUUAAUCGGAAUUACUGGGCGUAAAGCGUGCGCAGGCGGCUUUGCAAGACAGAUGUGAAAUCCCCGGGCUCAACCUGGGAACUGCAUUUGUGACUGCAAGGCUAGAGUACGGUAGAGGGGGAUGGUAUUCCGCGUGUAGCAGUGAAAUGCGUAGAUAUGCGGAGGAACACCGAUGGCGAAGGCAAUCCCCUGGACCUGUACUGACGCUCAUGCACGAAAGCGUGGGGAGCAAACAGG